UACGUAGGGGGCAAGCGUUGUCCGGAUUUAUUGGGCGUAAAGAGCGUGUAGGCGGCCAGACAGGUCCGUUGUGAAAACUCGAGGCUCAACCUCGAGAUGUCGAUGGAAACCGUAUGGCUAGAGUCCGGAAGAGGAGAGUGGAAUUCCUGGUGUAGCGGUGAAAUGCGCAGAUAUCAGGAAGAACACCAAUGGCGAAGGCAGCUCUCUGGGACGGUACUGACGCUGAGACGCGAAAGCGUGGGGAGCGAACAGG
rnacentral:rRNA from 1 species